GUCUUACCAUGCAGUCGAACGGUGAAGAGGAGCUUGCUCCUUGGAUCAGUGGCGAACGGGUGAGUAACACGUGAGCAAUCUGCCCUUGACUCUGGGAUAACUGCGGGAAACUGUAGCUAAUACCGGAUAUUACCUUGGAAGGCAUCUUCUGGGGUGGAAAGAAUUUUGGUCAAGGAUGAGCUCGCGGCCUAUCAGCUAGUUGGUGAGGUAAUGGCUCACCAAGGCGACGACGGGUAGCCGGCCUGAGAGGGUGACCGGCCACACUGGGACUGAGACACGGCCCAGACUCCUACGGGAGGCAGCAGUGGGGAAUAUUGCACAAUGGGCGCAAGCCUGAUGCAGCAACGCCGCGUGAGGGACGACGGCCUUCGGGUUGUAAACCUCUUUUAGUAGGGAAGAAGCGACUGGGUUUUCCUGGGAGUGACGGUACCUGCAGAAAAAGCACCGGCUAACUACGUGCCAGCAGCCGCGGUAAUACGUAGGGUGCAAGCGUUGUCCGGAAUUAUUGGGCGUAAAGAGCUCGUAGGCGGUUUGUCGCGUCUGCUGUGAAAACCCGAGGCUCAACCUCGGGCCUGCAGUGGGUACGGGCAGACUAGAGUGCGGUAGGGGAGAUUGGAAUUCCUGGUGUAGCGGUGGAAUGCGCAGAUAUCAGGAGGAACACCAAUGGCGAAGGCAGAUCUCUGGGCCGUAACUGACGCUGAG
rnacentral:rRNA from 1 species